AGGAAACAGACAAAGAGAUGAGGCAACUUGCCCAAGGCACAGCUGGGAUUCAGGCUCAGGAGUCUCAAGUCUCGCUCUUAUCCAUGUCCUAUCCUACAACCUACUCUGUGAUAACUCUACUGAAGAUUACUUUUGAAAGAGAAAAGAGCAACAGGGUUUUGGCAUUUUAUCGUCUUCUCUGUGGUGCUUUGUAUUGCAAGCUCAAGAGUUUAAACUUCAUCUGAAAACAGCAUUAAGGGUGUUUUAAAUGGUGACUCUGGCCUCAGGAGAGAGACUUUGGAACAUCCGGACUGAAAAGGGAGCCAUUGCUGCUACUGCUUCAGCCUUCCCACAGAACACACCUGCCCAUCCAAGAGCCAAGUAAUGCCAAGUUUCCUCAUGAAAAUGCCAAAUGAAGUCACGAGAAAUAUCAACUGAUACUAACAGUGGCCAAAUUCCUGCACAGGAGUAGGAUGAGAGGAGCUAAGAGCUGCCCUUAGCUUCUCUGGGGAGACCAGCCAAGUAGCACUUUCUCAUCAACUCCAAUAAACCGUGGGGUGUGUGUGUGUGCAAAUACCCUGCAUUCUACAGAUGUGUUGGGGAAAGAUGGAACACUCAUGUAUCUCUAUUUGUGGGGCAGUGGGCAGUUCAGAGCACAGACCUGGGUUUCAUCCUGGCCCCCCAGCUCAUUCAGGCAAAUCUGUCUCUCCUUCAGCCUCCACAUCUGUAAAAUGGGACUAAUUUCUAAUCAUGUACCUUCUGCACGGGGUGGAUGUAAGGAUGAAAGAAGAGAAUCCUGUUGAAUAUUUAGUACGGUGUCUGGCCAGAGAAAGGUACCAGAAGGGUCAGCUAAUA